AUUGAACGCUGGCGGCAUGCUUUACACAUGCAGGUCGAACGGUAACAGGCCGCAAGGUGCUGACGAGUGGCGCACGGGUGAGUAAUGCAUCGGAACGUGCCCAGUCGUGGGGGAUAACUACUCGAAAGAGUAGCUAAUACCGCAUACGAUCUAUGGAUGAAAGCGGGGGACCGUAAGGCCUCGCGCGAUUGGAGCGGCCGAUGUCAGAUUAGGUAGUUGGUGGGGUAAAGGCUCACCAAGCCAACGAUCUGUAGCUGGUCUGAGAGGACAACCAGCCACACUGGGACUGAGACACGGCCCAGACUCCUACGGGAGGCAGCAGUGGGGAAUUUUGGACAAUGGGCGCAAGCCUGAUCCAGCAAUGCCGCGUGCAGGAAGAAGGCCUUCGGGUUGUAAACUGCUUUUGUACGGAACGAAACGGCUCUGGUUAAUACCCGGGGCUAAUGACGGUACCGUAAGAAUAAGCACCGGCUAACUACGUG
rnacentral:rRNA from 1 species